rnacentral:rRNA from 1 species
CAGCAGCCGCGGUAAUACGUAGGGUGCAAGCGUUAAUCGGAAUUACUGGGCGUAAAGCGUGCUCAGGCGGUUUUGUAAGACAGAGGUGAAAUCCCCGGGCUCAACCUGGGAACUGCCUUUGUGACUGCAAGGCUAGAGUACGGCAGAGGGGGAUGGAAUUCCGUGUGUAGCAGUGAAAUGCGUAGAUAUGCGGAGGAACACCGAUGGCGAAGGCAAUCCCCUGGGCCUGUACUGACGCUCAUGCACGAAAGCGUGGGGAGCAAACAGGAUUAGAUACCCCUGUAGUCCCUGUCUCUUAUAC